GGGCCUUUUCAAGGAGUCCCCUGUGUCAUCCUUCUCCACCAGCAGCCAUCCCAUCAAGUCAUGGGCUGCCUCUUUCCACCUGUGUUUGGUUCCAGAAGAGAGCCAGCUGCCUCAGUACCUUUUUCUCACCGAGCAGGACCCAUCAAGGCCAACCACAACUAAUUCUGCAAGAAGUAUUUCCAAGAGAGUCAGGAUAACGCUUUGCAACUUGGAAUCAAGCAGAUCCAGCAGAGCAGAGAUAACAGAAUCUCAAGACUGAAGACGCAGUAUAAAGCAGGUGCGUGUUUGCUCAAGGGAGCUAAAGUUACACCCAGAAGGGGUUGAAGCACUAACUGAAACGUAAUCGUCAUUCAGAGCACGUAGUAAGGUGUGUGGGGAAUCGGCAGGCAUGCUGGUGAGUGAGUGAGAGGUGAGAGGGCUUUCUCUGGGGGCUCAUCAAGGCGGCACAGCACUGGCUGCUGUAAUAACAACUCUCUUGCUGGCAGGAGAGAGCAGCUUAAAAUGCUUGUGGGACUGCACAUUUGAACGGGACUGCACACAUGUGAGAAAGAAGAGCUAUGGUGUUGAAACAAGAAAGUUUGCUUGUGUGCCUUGUGGCACCUUCUGUGUUCUGUUCUGCCCUGAUUUUCCUAUUAAAUUCUCACAAUACAAUUUAUGCAUAUUUUGUCUGCUGCUCUUAACAGCUGUUUUUGUUGUUUGUUUUUCAAU